rnacentral:rRNA from 1 species
GACGAACGCUGGCGGCGUGCCUAACACAUGCAAGUCGAACGAGAAUCUACUGAAAGAGUUUUCGGACAAUGGAAGUAGAGGAAAGUGGCGGACGGGUGAGUAACGCGUGAGGAACCUGCCUUGAAGAGGGGGACAACAGUUGGAAACGACUGCUAAUACCGCAUGACGCAUAGAGGUCGCAUGAUCUUUAUGCCAAAGAUUUAUCGCUUCAAGAUGGCCUCGCGUCUGAUUAGCUAGUUGGCGGGGUAACGGCCCACCAAGGCGACGAUCAGUAGCCGGACUGAGAGGUUGAACGGCCACAUUGGGACUGAGAUACGGCCCAGACUCCUACGGGAGGCAGCAGUGGGGAAUAUUGGGCAAUGGGCGCAAGCCUGACCCAGCAACGCCGCGUGAGGAAGGAAGGACGUUC